GCAGAGGUAUCAACACAGAGUGCAUUGUUUUGUUUAUUUCUAAUGGUUACUAUGAAGACAAACCGUAGACGUUGUCACAUAUUUUACUUAAAAGUUACACGAAGGUUUCCAUGUUCGCCAUUUGCGUUUCUA